GCUAGUGAGGGGGAUUGAAGCUGCUUUCCCAGGAUCUGGCCUUUCCGAGGACCCUUGGGGAAGUUUGACAGGUGCACAAGAAGGGCAUCUCAGGCCGAGAGAGUGCAUGGAGGGGAGAGAGCUUGACGUGGGUACCCAACGAUGACUGCUCCAGUGGAGUGUGGCUUUCAGGAAACCAAGUGGUUGGGGGCCAACUUGGAAGGUUGUGCAAGACAGGAGUGUGAGGACCCCUGAAUGUCAUGCUAAGGAGUUUGGAUUCUAUCCCACAGAGAUGGAGAGAGUGCAUUCACAAUGAUCAAGGUCAUCUGAGUGAAAAUUAUUUUGUAGACAGGUAUCUGCAGGACAGCCAGUGGAAAGAACAGGAUUUGGAGGGAUGAUUAUACUGUUUCUGACCAGAAAUUCAACCUUUUAAGAGGCCUCACUACAAGUUUUCCACUACCUAUGUUUGUUCAGGAGAAUUUCCCUCUACAUUUGUUCCAUCAGUGUUCAAAGAAAAGACUUGGGAGAACCAGUGACAUUGAAACGAAAUGACAGUCCUAGGGCACCUGGGUGGCUCAGUGGUUGAGCAUCUGCCUUUGGCUCAGGGAGCCUGCUUCUCCCUCUGCCUCCGUCUCGGCCUCUCUCUGUGUCUCUCUUGAAUAAAUAAAUAAAUAAUCUUAAAAAAAAAAAAGAAAAGAAAAAGAAACGGAAGUCCUGGCAGCUAGCCCACGCCUAAGCUCCCUGGAUGGUGCACGUUUUCUGGAACAUGCUCAGGGGAUGGAGUCUGAAAGCAGCAGAGGAUCCAUGACUUAAGGGCACCAAGGAAUCACUGUACACUGUGAAGAGCCCAGGGUGCAGUAUUUGAAACAUUAAACAUUAUCUGGUAGUCUUUCAGAAUCAGAAGCUUUACUUUCGGGUCAUUUAAUCUACUCUCUUUUCCUCAGGAAGUCACUCAACAUCUGUUUGUUCUAUAUUGUGACUUACUCUGUCAGAAUGAGGAUGGGCCAGUAGAAGCACAAAAAUUAAAACAUGCACUUUCUCAAGGCCACAGCCUUUCAGCUCAUUCCUGGUUCUCUGUGAAAACCUCAAGUCCUUGCCAUUCUCUUGUUUUGCGUCGGGAGUUGCAUUAACAGAGAGAUGAGAAAGAGAGAAAGGAACAGAACAGGCUGAUCUUGGCUUUGUAGCUGCCAGCUACUUUAUGGGCUGCUGUUUUCUGGCAGAUGGAUCACGGGCUCUGUCUUAAGAUGAACUGUCUUUGUGCCUCUCUGAGCUUCACAUCUUUGCUCCAAAGAGAAAUAAAGGCUGAACACAAAAUAUGUAGAAAUUUGGAUUUGGGAAGCAUUACUGAGAAUGCCACAGUGGAAGCCUGGGCAUUACUGAGACUUUUUCAGUUACAGACACUUCCAGAGACAUUCCAUCUUUUGACCUUCAACUCAUCCCUUCAGGAGGAUUGCACAGGUGUUGUUGGCCACCCCAUUCGGGUAUGGAAAGUUUAAAGCCAGCCAAUCAGUGAUGGGCCAGGACAUGGGGGUCAAGACCAUUAGUUCCCACAUUAAGCAGCUUUACCAGCAUAUCCAGCUGGAAUUUCAGAGGCACAGAGUGAUAUGCCGACAGUCACAUACAGUUCCCAUUUCUAUAUAUGAAAACUCAAAAUUUUAAGAAAACAAAACAAGUAGCCAAGUCACAGAGCAGAAACUUGUUGGGCCCGUAAAUCAAAAUAAUCUUCACACCAAGGUAGCCCAUCUUGAGGUGGUCUGCCCUUGGCGCCUACAGGUUCAAUAAUGUGGCAACGGGACAAACUCUUCCUGAUCCUUCACUCUGCUGUCCCCAGUGUCUCUCUACCUGUGACGCUCAGGAUUUAUGUAAGUGGUUUGCUAAGGCUCUACACUUCCACAUCGGUCCAGUAGAGCUGCCCCCUGAAGCCUCUGUAAGCAGUGAUAUGAUCCUUCCUGGAAGUCUCUACUCAAAUCUGAUGAGCCUCAACUGCAUCGUGACCCUGGUCCUCAACCUACUGUUGCCAGAAUUCUGUUUCCAGGAAAGAUGGGCCACAUGGCAGCAAACAAGCAAGAAAAGAGCAGGUGGAGAACUGCUUUACACCCCGACGUACAGCUGAUCCUUGAACAACAUGGGUGUGAACUGCACCGGUCCACUUAUACUCAGAUUUGUUAUGAUAA